rnacentral:lncRNA from 1 species
UUGAGCCCUUGGCCGUCCCAUAUCUUAUUAUGCCAAUUAAUUUUCACGUCCUAUGGGAAUCAUUUGGAAAUACUUGUCAUUAUGCCAACCAUAGCAGCCUAUUCGAUUUGCGUACGGCAUUCAGAACCCCGGGACUUUUACCUUUAUUUCAAGCGCACAGUUCCGGGUAGUCUGACAGACACACAGUGAUAAAGUUCAACAAAGGUAGAUAUAUCAGAGCUGCACUCUAGCUACCAGAGUUGACACUUCAAACCUGGAUUAUAAGGAAAAAGGAGGCAGCCUCGGACUGCAACAUCUAUUCCCUGAAUAAGCAGCACAUUAACCAGUAGGAGGACCUUUCAGACCUCCAGGGAACUAAAGAAGAGGGGGACGGACCGAAAUCACCUCCGGGUUAACCACUAUAGAAGAAGAUCAAGCCAAGGAUCCCUAUGUCGCACUACAACAAUACUGGAGAAUAUAACAACCCUGCCUAUCAUGACAGUGACACCCUGGAGAUAGAUAGGAGUCCUUCCAGGAAAUCCCAAUCCCAUCACAGUAACCCACAUGGUAACCCCUACCCCAGGGAUGAUGGAGCCGGGGGGCAGAGAGGCAGGUCUGACCUCCAGCAGCUCCCAGGAGGGGUCCAGUCCAGCUACGACGAUGCCCAGGAGAGAGUACCCUGGGGCGGGUGGCAGGAGGGGAGCUGGAGGGGCAGAGACAGCAUUCCCAUGGGUCUCCUUCCUCCCCGGUCGGAGAGCCCACGAUGGCAGCAGCAUGACCUCAGUAAGUCGAUGUUUGAUUUAAUUGAUUAAUUAGACAAUAGAAACAAGUAAUGUACAGCCACACACCAAUGUAAUGGCAGUACACACGUUUUCUGAUGGAAGAUUGUAUUGUAAACAGAUCAGAGAAAUAUGAUCCCUUGUGCUGUAUUAAGGGUAGUCUCUCCUCCCAAGAUUUGGUUCCGGGUUCUGAGAGGAUAGUAUGGCCAUGAUUUUGUUGGAAUGGCAGCCUGGUCGCAUAGACUAGAAGUAACAUAGUAAAUAUAUAUCCGUGACACUCAAAUUAGUAUGAUAUGUUACGUUUGGUAUGUUUACAUAAGUCCAGUAUGAAGGAAGUUUGAGGUAAUUUCACGGGCCAAUGCUUAGUAGCAAUAGCGCUUACGCUAGUUAGCAAUUCUGCUAGUGCUAGUUAGCAACUUCCUUCAAACUGCACGUAGAGACAUAAAAAUGGUAUCUAUGAGUUCAUCCUACUCUGGGGACGUAGAUGAAGGCCCUCAUUGCCAAACCCUUUAAUCCUUUAACCUAACUCUAACCUUAACCUUAACCCUGACCUUAACCUUAACCCUAACCUUAACCCCUAACCCCUAGCCUAAGCGUACUAAUG